AACAAAAGAUUUAACAUUUUAAAAACUUUAUUAAAUUUAAAAAUUCAAAUUUUCUUAAAUGUAAAAAGACAUUUAUAAAAAAAAAAGACGACAAGACCCUAUUGAACUUAACUUCAGUUUUACUGGGGCAGUAAAUUAAUUAAUAUUUUAAAAACACUUUUUAAAAAAAAAUCUAAUUAAAUUAAUUAAUUCAGUUACCAUAGGGAUAACAGAGUUAUAUUAUCUCAGAGAUCUUAUCUAAGAAUAAAAUUACUACCUCGAUGUUGAAUUAAUAAUCUAUUUUAAGCAAAAUUAAAAAAAGAAAGUCUGUUCGACUUUUAAUAAAUUACAUGAUUUGAGUUCAGACCGGUGUAAGCCAGGUCGGUUUCUAUCUUUUAAAAACUUUUUUACAGUACGAAAGGACCUAAAAAUAUUAAUUAAUUAAUUAUUUGGCAGAUAAAUGCAUUAGAAUUAGAAUCUAACAAAACUAAU
rnacentral:rRNA from 1 species